GAUGGGCUUUGCUUUGUAGGUGACCUGGCCUUUCCAGGCAGAGACUCUUGUUCUUUUCCCUUCCUUUCUCCCAACUAAAUGGAGCCUCCUGCCUGUGCUGAGCCACCUGGAGUUGGGAGUGUGAUGAGGCAAGCACCCUUGUGUCCACCAACACUCAGACCUGCACUGGGCGGAACCUGAAGCCAGCAUAGCUCUGGGUCUUGCCCAAGGCCCUGCUCUUUAAUGUGAUAAGUUUCCCCAGGCUCCAGAAAUGUCCAGAGAUGUUGUCUGGGGGCCAGAGAUUGGAGUCAAACAUCUUAGCAGUUUACCUGAUUUUCUAGUCUACUAUAUCUAAGCUCAUAUCACACUACAAUACAGAGUUCCUGCUCUUCCUUCCCCUUUCCUUAAGAAGAGGAACCUCUUCCCGUGGCCACCACCACCACUGAUCCACAAGGGUUUUGUCAGGCCACUGCAUGUGUUCAUUUAAAACCCUGAGCUCUUCUGUCAGCUCAUGGUGAAUGCCGCCAAGCCUGGGAUUCACACUUCAGCUUAGAUGCCUCCCUUCUGUCCCCGGAUAUGUAAAAAAAAUGGUGUCCAAAAGCGUUAGCAUGGACUUGGGGACCCUAACAGCCUUCUUGUUGCUUUACCUCAUUUUAGCUUAGCUGGUACCUAAGGUACAAGUAAAUGUCCCCUUUCUUUUCCCUCUGCUUUUCUCAAACAAGAAAGAGUCUUGUAGUUACUACAGCAGGGAAUGUGCUAUGUCAUCCCUGAAGUCAGCACGUCUCAGAGCUCAAGGCCCACCGCAUACUCCCUGGGUAUCACUGCUGGUUAUUCAGGGCCCAAGAGCUCUUUGGCAGGAUGAAUCCUGCCAGGACUGGGUCCUUCUCUUCAAGGCAGUGGUUUCAUUUUUGGCUAAGGGUGUGCCUAGAUAUGUUGUCCAGGUGGAAGGGCCAGGAAUGGGAAUAUUAUUACUCUUCCUGGUGACCUAUCCUACUGUGGCUGAACUGGUACCAAGAUGCAAGACAAAGUCCUCUUUACCCUUUAUUCUCUUCUCCUUAAGAAGAAGGAAGGCGUCACUGUUGUUGCUGUGAGUUGCAGUACCUCCGACUGGGGGAGAGAUGAUGGCCCAAAGUAUAGAUAUUAUGAUGACUCAAAUUUAAGACUCUUCUGAACCUAGUAAGAUUAAUGCUGAGAGAGGAGUUACUUGUCCUACCUUCUGGAAACUUUGGUGAAGCUAGGAGCUGUACGUGCCCAUGCAUACCAGAUGGACAAGUAUAGGAACUAAAGUCUAAAAAUAAGAACAAGCAGUUUUAGUGUGCUUUAGAUUCAGCUGGUUAUCAAGUGCCACUUUGCAGAUGGAGACCUUGAGGACUAACUCAACAAGCCAACAACCAAGGUAGAAGAUGGUUUUGAGGGCAAAAGUGAAAAGUAUAACCACUGUCCAUCAUGCAUGCAGAUGGCAUUAACCAAAUGUAGUUUCCCAUGCAAUACUGUUGAUAGAGAUGGUUCAAGGAAUAGAAGAUCUCUUUUUGGAUCUUGACUCAGCUCAGGUGAUAUAAUUACUUCUAAAACAAAUUUACUGUCAUGCAAUAGAGAAACAGACAAAACUGCAAUAAAAAUAGAUCUAUGAACCCUUCAUAACUAUAGUUUUUCAGGGAGGACCAUUGGAAAGAUUUUUUUAAACAUCAUAAGAAAAAGUGAAAUGAAUGGGAGUCAGGAAAAGGCUAGGCAAGGAGACGGGGGGAGAAGAGAUGAACAGAACAUAUUGGUAAGAGGAGCUGCAGAAUGAGAACUUCUGUUGCAAAUUUUCAGCAGUGCCUGUUUGAAUAAACACAGAAUGCCUAUAAUGUUUCUGGUUUUCCUAUUAUGGCAGGUGGUAUAGAAAGUGUUAAUUUGGUAUAGAUUAAAACUUGGGACACCAAAUAUCAUUGUUUCAUUUUUCUGUGAUGCCCCUUGCCCGAUAAAGAAAGAAAACAAAGCUACUCAUCAUUUGCUAUAAGA